rnacentral:rRNA from 1 species
CCAGAUCGUUUACCGUGAAAAAAUUAGAGUGUUCAAAGCAGGCAGAUCCAAUUUUCUGCCACCGAAUACAUUAGCAUGGGAUAAUGGAAUAGGACCCUGUCCUCCUAUUUUCAGUUGGUUUUGGCAGCGCGAGGACUAGGGUAAUGAUUAAUAGGGAUAGUUGGGGGCAUUAAUAUUUAAUUGUCAGAGGUGAAAUUCUUGGAUUUAUGAAAGAUUAACUUCUGCGAAAGCAUCUGCCAAGGAUGUUUUCAUUAAUCAAGAACGAAAGUUAGGGGAUCGAAGACGAUCAGAUACCGUCGUAGUCUUAACCAUAAACGAUGCCGACCAGCGAUUAGGAGACGUUGAAUACAAAACACCACCAUCGGUGCGGUCGUCCYUGGC